UACAGAGGUCUCAAGCGUUGUUCGGAUUCAUUGGGCGUAAAGGGUGCGUAGGCGGCGCGGUAAGUCGGGUGUGAAACCUCGGAGCUUAACUCCGAAACUGCAUUCGAUACUGCCGUGCUUGAGGACUGGAGAGGAGACUGGAAUUUACGGUGUAGCGGUGAAAUGCGUAGAUAUCGUAAGGAAGACCAGUGGCGAAGGCGGGUCUCUGGACAGUUCCUGA
rnacentral:rRNA from 1 species